AUGAGCCCAGCACAGGGACUGUGUUUUGUACCAUCUUUUUGCCUCCCUUAUGCUGGGGCUGAAGGGAGCCAUCUCAGGCCCUGGAGCUGGUUAGAGCAGCCUUUGGGGAUGCCCCAACCCAUGUCUAGCUGCCGACGGUCUCUGUGGGCCCCUGCAGUAGCUAAGCCCUGGUCUACACUUAAACUUUAGAUUGACCCAGCUACAUUGCUCAGGGGUGUGAGCGGUUACACUGACCUAACGCUGGUAUAGACAUAGCUGGGUCGAUGGAAGAGUCCUUCCAUCAACCUAGCUACUGCCGCUCCGGGAGGUGGAUUAAUUACAGCAACAGAAAAACCCCUUUCUGUCAAUGCUGGAGGUGUCUACACAACAGCUGUAGAGCCCGUAGUGCAGACACGCCCUAUGACAAGCAGGGGCGGUGUCCUACUCGACGCCCUUUACCCAAGGCUGUUCCCCAUCAUGCGCCUGAAGCAGCAGGCUCCUGGGCCACCGUUCGGGCCAUUCCCCAAAGGUCCCUAUACGUUCUGCCACGGCCUGUGUCAAGUGACGGUGCUCUGUCACUCUCAAACACCUCCCCCACACACACUUAGACCCAACACCCACCUGUGCCUCCAGUCCCUGCCCACCCACCCCCAGCCCCUCACUCCGCUGCUUCCCAGGAAAGCCAGUGGUGCGCAGUGGCUGAGAUUCAGGGCUAUUCUUAACCUGUCUGUCACUUGUAUCGCAUGACAGACAGUAACAGGAACCGAGCCCCUCCCAUUCUGCUUUCCUUCAGCUGCCUCCCAGGUCACAACAACUAUCAGAUCUGCUCUAGCUCCCUGGGCCGGGAAGGGCCAUUGAAUGGGGAAUUUCGUGCUGUGGGGCAGGCAGGUGCUGGGAGCACCAAGAGGCAUGGGCACUGGGUUGUGCUGGGCGGGCGCACCAAGGGGCCUGCACGCACCAUGUAUUCCUGGGGGUGGAAGCAUGGGGGGGCCCACUGCCAUGGGGCAGGAAGCACCGAGAGCUGCUUCCUUAGUGAUAGCCCAGCAGGGGUCACCCAGCUAGCCCACGCUCCAUCCCCGUGCUGUGAGCCCUGCAGAGCUCUCUCUUUAUGUGCCUCCUAGGCCCGGGGCCCGGCAGGGAAGGAAACCUGCCAGGCAGUUCCCAGAGCAGCGGGCAGUGCUCAUGGAGUGGGCAGGUUCCCCUCCCCCGAGUGGGGCCGGCGACUGGCUGGGAUCCGCUUGGCGGUGAUGGCUGAUACGGUGCUCGUGGCGCACCCCAUCCCUGCCAAGCAGUGCAAACCCCCCCAGCGGGUCGCCCUGCGGCAGCCUGGAAGAGAGAGGGUGGAGAGGGGAGGCGCUGACCACCACCUAGGUGAAGCGAAUGAGCCAGGGGCAAGGUCCGGCGGCCAAGGGCUGUGUCCGGGAAGGGGCUGGCCCUGGGCAUGUGCCUGAGCAUGGGCCCCGGGAAUCAGCACAGCUGGUGCAGGGCGAUGCGUGGCCCUGAGGGCCUUGCUGAGGAAGCGUUUCCUGGCCAUGAAUCACCUGGAAAUGAUCCCUGGAUACCGCCCCGUCCCCAGUGACUCAGGGAUCAGCCUGGUGGGCGUAAGGAUAUUGGGGAGCCUGGUGCAGUCUUGCUGCCCCCCUCUGGUGGGGGAAGGCAGGCAGCAUGAGUCACUAGGCCUUCUGCAGCACCCAUGGCCAUCUGGGGUGGGUGUGGGUGGCCAGACAGCACUGGGACCCCCUUCCCAUACACUAACCCAGAACCUCUCUGUUCCCCCAGCGUGGGGUCCAGCCAGAGAAACGCCACAGCAAGAUAGCUGGGGUGCCCCAAAAGUCCUGCACCCGUCACAUCUUCCUGGGGUAAUGUGGGGCUGAGCUUCAAGGGGUCAUGGCCUGGAGCAGAGACCAUGGGGCUAGGCAAAGGCCUGGAGACUGUGGGUAAAAGCCACUGUGGGGCUGGUUUUUGACAGCAAACAGGGACCUCAAGGGGUUUUUUAAUACUAGUGAGCUAGUUCCUAUGCAAUCAGUGCAGCAUCCAUCUAGCUAUCUACCCACCCUUCGGCACGGCUAGGUUUAGUCCGGCCUGGUGUGCGUCGUCCAGGUGUAAAGAGCCCGUUGGCAAAGCCUAUGCCCGGGUGGGAGACCCCAGGGCUCAGCUGCCUGUGCUUGUUGCCUGAUGCUGGCAGGGAGUCUGGCUCGGCUCGGCUCUGAGGGAGCUGGCAGCAGGGCUCCCUCUGUGACCAUUUCCGGUACAACUUGGGGGAAGGGAGAGCUCUCUGUGCCCCGCACCCAUCACACCUGGGACUGUCCCAAGGAAAUUCCCUCUGUGUCCCCUGGCCAUACUGCUGGGGCCUCAGUGCUGAGCCAGGCAGGCGGAGCUGGGCUGGGCUCCCUGCCUGGGGGGGCUAGUGACAUAGACGUAUUGCUUGCAGCUCCUCUGCGUCAGUGUGUUCCAGCCUGUUCCAGCGACUCCACCCCCCACCCUACAGGGCGACACAGCCCAGAGAUGAGGGGGCAGAGAUUUGCUGUGUGUUACUCCAAUACAGUGCAGAGUCUGCCUCUCCAGCUGCCAGUGCUGCGUGCAGCGGGAGCUGCAUGGGUUAGAGACGAGGGCCCGCCCAACAUGCCAGCCGGACCAUCCCUGCUGCUGGGGGCCACUGGGAGGAGUCCGCGCCCCUCGGACCGAGCAGGAGAGCAGACAGAGGGAUGAAAAGCGGUAAACAGACCAUCUAUCAUAACAUUCUCAUGCUGGGAUCCAGCAACCUCCGUCAGCAGGCAGCCAGGAACAGACGCUCACAACAACCUGACAAGAAGCAGAUGGCAGCUCCCUAGGCUGGAGUUCCUUCCAUCCGGUGCGCUGGCAGCGCCUCCUCUCCUCUAUGUCCUAUAUCCAACCUGUGGAUCCUGGCUUGGAGUCCACAGGAAAGGAGCUGCCUCCACGGAGCUGAGCAAAGUGCAAGCCAGGUGUCAGUUCUACAGCUAACUCCAACGGGCGGAGCAGGAACCAGGACUGUCCAAUGGUACCAAGAGUCCUGGUCCUUCUCCAGCGCCAACCCCCAUGCUCCCAAUCAAUCCCAUGUUUCCAGGUUCCCUGAGGGAAAGAAAAGAGCAAAAGUAAAGGCAAGCUUGUGCAGAAGCGGAAAAACAGCCGGGAAAGUGGCUCUCCCAGCCUCCCCCAGCUAUUUGCAGGCAACCCACCUAUAACAGCCAAUAGACCAGGUAUCAGACACACAGGCUCGAAUCAGCCUUUCCAGCUGUGCCACAGAAAUCAACACCUUGCUAGACAUCACAGAGAUCAUCACACAAAUGGGAGAAACCCUCUUAACACAACACCUUCACCCUGUCCUGGCCAGGGUACAUUUCUCCUCUUUGCCCCUGGCUUCGCUGCAGUCACCAGGGCUGGACAGGAGCAGAGCAGACUGGCUUACCACGUCAGCUCUUUCAGGUUUCAGCCUUGAAGUGGUUUGAACAAGCCAGCGGAAAGCACAGCCCUGAAAGAUCAGGGGUUUAGAAACAUUUCCAGCCACGGCAUUACCUCCAGGCCCCGAAUUGGCUGGGCAAGCGAGCAGCAAGCUGCAGCCAUGUUUGGAAAUCAAUCUGCCGUGAGUCAGAGACACGGGACGCACUCACUAAAGGACUAGCUGAGAGAGAGAGGCUCAGCGCAUGAAAGGAAAAUGGGACACGGACUCCCAGGAGAACCUAGAGGAUGAUAACAAGGCAGCCAACUUUCAAAAUGCUCACCCACCAUCUCUUUCCUCCUGGCUAGCUAGCAUGCAGAACAUACUGAUGCAACAUGCAAAGAGAUCCCAGGAGUCUCCUACUCCCAGGCAAUCAGCCAGCCCAAGAUGGAGAGACCACCCUCUUCUGCGCCAAGCCACACAGCAAACCUGCGCUCUGUGCUGUGAUACGAACCUGGUCUGGCCCGUUGUGAGGGAUGCACACAGUAGAGUAGGCAGGUCUGAGGCCAGUUUGGGGAGGAUGGAGUUUUAGGCAAUGAGCUAUCAUAGCACCAAAGAAAACACACAAAUAGAGACCUCAAGCUGAAGCUACCCUCUGCUGUAUUCUGUAUAGAAAGAGGCCAGCUUUCCCCUUAUAUAGUGAAUAACUAACCUUGCCGACUUACCUGAGUGUGAGAGUACAUACUGCACUACAGCCCCAUUAACCGACCCUUAUACACCACACUGACACUAGCUCCAUGGAACUAUUAGUGUCUAGCAAUCCUGCACCAAAAACUGGCUUAGGGGGACAAUGGCAUUCCAGCUAACUGUGUGUAUUAGCUAGAAUCCCCCUACACCACAUCCUAGUUCCUACCUGUGUAUAACACUACCACGCUGCAAAACCCGACGCCUCUCCACACAGGUAUUUCACAUCGUGUAUAGACGAGAGCUGGACUGGAACAAAACCCAGGCCCAGAUCUGGACGAACCUUUCCCAGACAUUGGGUUGUUCUGAUUCAGUGCUUGCUCUGUGUCCGCUUGUGCUGCAAGCUCAGAACCAGGGGUUAGAGGUGGGAUUCUGAUUCAGAGCCAGGUCUCAUACGUACCUGUGUAACUGCCUGUAAAUACCCCUCUGCAACACUGAGGGACAAGUUAUAAAAGUGCAAACAAAAGACCACAGAAUCCAGUUAGUUUGGGGCAAUUUCACGAGCUAAAGAUGUGUCCAUUGUUAGGAUAUAGAUAUUCAGGCCUGUCUGUAAAGGCCUAUACUUUAAGAAUUUAGGUGUAUUCUUAUCACUUAGCUAGUUAUAGAGGUAUAAAAGAAAGAAUCAAAAUCACUGUCUGUGUAAGGGCCUUCUCUCACUGUGACAGUCUGAGGCCCCGGUUCUUAGGCUAAGACCUUUGGCUAAGCAGCAGAGGCCAGCCAUAAACUGGGAAGCGUAUGGUCCAGGGCCGACUCUAGCGUUUUUGGGGAAAAAAAGCAGGGAGGGGAAAAAAAAAAGCCACGAUCGCGAUCGGCAGCAAUUCGGUGGCAGCUCUAGCGCCACUUCAUUCUAUGGCGGCAA